GCACCUGUAACCCCAGCACUUUGGGAGGCCGAGGCGGGAGGAUCACCUGAGGUCAGGAGUUCGAGACCAGCCUGGCCAACCUGGGGAAACCCUGUUCCUACU